AUAAGUGUGUUUUCAGUCAAAUGUGAACAUUGCUGUAUCUCAGAAAUGGCAAAGUUCUACAUGGUCUGAGUAAAUACAUGAAAACCAUUAUAUUAAAGUGUAAUGGGGAGGUGACUGGUACCCGAUUUAAGAUCUUGACCUGUCCCACUAUGUGGUUCAUCCUUUAUUCUCCAUGACCAUCUAUGGUAGUGAGCGUAUUAUGAAUCAUCGAGAAGUAUAUGUGGCUGAAACUGGAGAAGACCUAUUUCUUCUCACCCAUUAAAACAUUUCCAUUAGAUUCCACCCUGGUAUUUCUGGUUUUGGCAAUCAAGACAAACUCUGCCAUAUUUUGCACUUUCCUACGCUCAAAUUCCAGCACAGACCCUGAUGAUAGGCACUACACAUUCUUUGAAGAACUGAAACAACUCCUGUAUUAUGCCCUUUAAUCUGUUUUGUUUUGUG